rnacentral:rRNA from 1 species
UCGGACGGGUGAGUAACGCGUGGAAAACCUGCCGUAUACUGGGGGAGUAACACUUAGAAAUAGGUGCUAAUACCGCAUAAGCGCACAGCUUCGCAUGAAGCGGUGUGAAAAACUCUGGUGGUAUACGAUGGUUCCGCGUCUGAUUAGCUAGUUGGUGGGGUAAUGGCCUACCAAGGCAACGAUCAGUAGCCGGCCUGAGAGGGUGAACGGCCACAUUGGGACUGAGACACGGCCCAAACUCCUACGGGAGGCAGCAG